AGAGUUUGAUCAUGGCUCAGAUUGAACGCUGGCGGCAUGCUUUACACAUGCAAGUCGAACGGGCUGUUGGGGCAACCUGGCAGUCAGUGGCGAACGGGUGAGUAAUGCAUCGGAACGUGUCCCGUAGUGGGGGAUAACCCGGCGAAAGCCGGACUAAUACCGCAUAUGCUCUGAGGAGGAAAGUGGGGGAUCCGCAAGGACCUCACGCUAUGGGAGCGGCCGAUGUCCGAUUAGCUUGUUGGUGAGGUAAUGGCUCACCAAGGCGACGAUCGGUAGCUGGUCUGAGAGGAUGAUCAGCCACACUGGGACUGAGACACGGCCCAGACUCCUACGGGAGGCAGCAGUGGGGAAUUUUGGACAAUGGGCGCAAGCCUGAUCCAGCCAUGCCGCGUGCGGGAAGAAGGCCUUCGGGUUGUAAACCGCUUUUAGUCGGGAAGAAAAGAUCACUCCUAAUACGGGUGGUUCUUGACGGUACCGGCGGAAUAAGCACCGGCUAACUACGUGCCAGCAGCCGCGGUAAUACGUAGGGGGCAAGCGUUGUCCGGAUUUAUUGGGCGUAAAGAGCGUGUAGGCGGCCAAAUAGGUCAGCUGUGAAAACUCGAGGCUCAACCUCGAGAUGUCGGCUGAAACCAUCUGGCUAGAGUCCGGAAGAGGAGAAUGGAAUUCCCGGUGUAGCGGUGAAAUGCGCAGAUAUCGGGAAGAACACCCGUGGCGAAGGCGGUUCUCUGGGACGGUACUGACGCUGAGACGCGAAAGCGUGGGGAGCGAACAGGAUUAGAUACCCUGGUAGUCCACGCCGUAAACGAUGGGAACUAGGUGUGGGCGGUGUCGACUCCGUCCGUGCCGAAGCUAACGCAUUAAGUUCCCCGCCUGGGGAGUACGGCCGCAAGGCUAAAACUCAAAUGAAUUGACGG
rnacentral:rRNA from 1 species